AGGGUCCAACCCCUAACAAAGAAGAAAAGCACAUGUUCUUUAUUAUAUAUGAAUAUAUAUAUAUAUAUAUAUAUAUAUAUAUAAUAUAUAUAUAUAUAUAUUCAUAUAUAAUAAAGAACAUGUGCUUUUCUUCUUUGUUAGGGGUUGGACCCU
rnacentral:miRNA from 1 species